rnacentral:rRNA from 1 species
CCUACGGGAGGCAGCAGUGGGGAAUAUUGCACAAUGGGGGAAACCCUGAUGCAGCGACGCCGCGUGAGUGAAGAAGUAAUUCGUUAUGUAAAGCUCUAUCAGCAGGGAAGAACAUGACGGUACCUGAGUACGAAGCACCGGCUAACUACGUGCCAGCAGCCGCGGUAAUACGUAGGGGGCAAGCGUUAUCCGGAUUUACUGGGUGUAAAGGGAGCGUAGACGGCAGUGCAAGUCUGGGGUGAAAGGGGGGGGCUCAACCCCCGGACUGCUCUGGAAACUGUACGGCUGGAGUGCAGGAGAGGUAAGUGGAAUGCCUAGUGUAGCGGUGAAAUGCGUAGAUAUUAGGAGGAACACCAGUGGCGAAGGCGGCUUACUGGACUGUAACUGACGUUGAGGCUCGAAAGCGUGGGGAGCAAACAGGAUUAGAUACCCUUGUAGUC